AUUGAACGCUGGCAGCAUGCUUUACACAUGCAAGUCGAACGGUAACAGGCCGCAAGGUGCUGACGAGUGGCGAACGGGUGAGUAAUGCAUCGGAACGUGCCCAGUCGUGGGGGAUAACGCAGCGAAAGCUGCGCUAAUACCGCAUACGAUCUAUGGAUGAAAGCGGGGGACCGUAAGGCCUCGCGCGAUUGGAGCGGCCGAUGUCAGAUUAGGUAGUUGGUGGGGGAAAGGCUCACCAAGCCGACGAUCUGUAGCUGGUCUGAGAGGACGACCAGCCACACUGGGACUGGGACACGGCCCAGAAUCCUACGGGAGGAAGCAGUGGGGAAUUUUGGACAAUGGGCGCAAGCCUGAUCCAGCAAUGCCGCGUGCAGGAAGAAGGCCUUCGGGUUGUAAACUGCUUUUGUACGGAACGAAACGGUCCUGGUUAAUACCCGGGGCUAAUGACGGUACCGUAAGAAUAAGCACCGGCUAACUACGUGCCAGCCGCCGCCGUAAUAC
rnacentral:rRNA from 1 species